rnacentral:snoRNA from 1 species
AACCCAUGGUGAGGACACCUUUACAAUAGAUCCUUGUAUCUCUCCCAUGCAUCGUAAAGUGUUUCGAAGUCCAUCUGCACAAAAGAAGAGAUAUCAUUAUGUAACU